rnacentral:rRNA from 1 species
CCUACGGGAGGCAGCAGUGGGGAAUUUUCCGCAAUGGGCGCAAGCCUGACGGAGCAAGACCGCGUGAGGGAGGAAGGCUCUUGGGUUGUAAACCUCUUUUAUCAGGGAAGAAGAUCUGACGGUACCUGAUGAAUCAGCAUCGGCUAACUCCGUGCCAGCAGCCGCGGUAAUACGGAGGAUGCAAGCGUUAUCCGGAUUUAUUGGGCGUAAAGCGUCCGCAGGUGGUUAUUCAAGUCUGCUGUUAAAGCGCGAGGCUUAACUUCGUACAGGCAGUGGAAACUGGAUGACUGGAGUAUGGUAGGGGUAGCGGGAAUUCCCAGUGUAGCGGUGAAAUGCGUAGAUAUUGGGAAGAACACCAGCGGCGAAAGCGCGCUACUGGGCCAUUACUGACACUCAUGGACGAAAGCUAGGGGAGCGAAAGGGAUUAGAUACCCCUGUAGUCCUAGCUGUAAACGAUGGGUACUAGGUGUUGACCGUAUCGACCCGGUCAGUGCCGUAGCUAACGCGUUAAGUACCCCGCCUGGGGAGUAUGCACGCAGUGUGAACGUAAAGGUAAGUUAGACGGCGUGAGACGUGCCGACGGACGACGACGAGGGAGUAGG